CAAUAGCGUAUAUUAAAGUUGUUGCAGUUAAAAAGCUCGUAGUUGAAUUUUUGCUUGCCGCCGAUGUCGGAACUUCCGUACGUUCGGCGGCGUGCAUCCUUGGGUGGAACCUGUGUGGCAUUAGGUUGUCGUGCAGGGGAUGCUCAUCGUUUACUGUGAAAAAAUUAGAGUGUUCAAAGCAGGCUUAUGCCGUUGAAUAUAUUAGCAUGGAAUAAUAAGAUAGGACCUUGGUACUAUUUUGUUGGUUUGCGCACCGAGGUAAUGAUUAACAGGGACAGUUGGGGGUAUUCGUAUUCCAUUGUCAGAGGUGAAAUUCUUGGAUUUCUGGAAGACGAACUACUGCGAAAGCAUUUACCAAGGAUGCUUUCAUUAA
rnacentral:rRNA from 1 species